rnacentral:lncRNA from 1 species
GUCUGAAUUUUCUGUGAGAACAUGUCAAAAUCUACCAGGUUCUUGUAUCUCCACAGUCUUUUUAAUUUUUCUACUCUAGAUACCUUCUUACUUACUUACGACUCACGAAAGAUACCUUCUUGUGAGAACAUGUCAAAAAGAAAACCUGGUUGGUUGCUAAUGCUCUUUGUUAUAUACUUAAAUUUGCAGUUCAACAUCUAGAUUAUCUUGGAGUGCAGGUGGCUUGUGUUACAGCACCAUGGUUUCUUUCCAUCUUCAUCAAUAUGCUUCCAUGGGAAAGUGGUCAGGUUCCAAACCUUGAUCUUGCCAGAUUUUUUAUUGAUCAGCUCUUUAUUUUUUUUAUAUUUAUAAACUUAAGAUCUUAAGUUACUUCCUUUCGCAAGAAAUUUCGAAAUUAAACUAUUCUCAUGAACCUAGCACAUGCAAGCUACAUAUCACUAUUUGUUAAGCGACUUUCAUCCCAUCAAAUAAUUCAUUUCCACAAACUUGUAUCAUUCGUCAACUACUUUUAUAUCUACACGUUAUUAGUUCCCAACGUAGCAUGCGAAAAAAAAAAACAUAGCAUGCGGUGUUCUUGAAAAGAUAUCUACACGUUAUGGUGGUGUUGUCUCAUUCGAUACAUUCAAAUUAUAACGACAAGUUUCGGAAAUUUUCUUCUAACGAUUUAAGGGAAGAUUAAAUAUGAUCAUUGGACUAGAGGAAACGAACCAACUCCGGUGUAAGGCUAAUAGAGUUGAGGAAGCGAUUCAGGACAUGGAUUUAGUCCUUGUGUUAAUUAAUUAUUAGCUACACGACUGAUUUAUUUAUAAGGUGGUGUUAACUGUUAAUAUUGGCCAGCAGUGUAACUUCAUUAAGAUGCUUAGUGAGAUGGGGGUCUCCUCCUUAAUUAUGUGUUACUUACACCAACUAUAAUGUCAUUCUUGUCUGUCGUCCUAACCUGUAUUUUUUUGUUCAUGGCGUUAAUCAACUUGUAUAGAUCAUUAAGGUACCAUACAAUUAGUAUCUGUUGUGUAAUGAUUAUACUUGACUUUGUUCGUGUAUUGAGUAGGUUUUGGGAACACCACCAACAAAGGGAAGAAAUAUAUCAAAUGCAUUCAAUACUGUCCCAGUCUCCGUUGUGAGUAUUUGCAACUUCUCUCACUUUCCUUCUUCUUGCAACAUCUCACUUAUUUUUAUUUUCUUGAAACUUUUGUGAUCUUGCCACUUAGCUCGAUACAUUGGUCCACCCGUUCUUUGAUGAGCUUAGAGAUCCCCUAAUGCACGUUUCUUUCCUUCCACCACUAUUCAACUUCAAGCCUCAUGGUACUAACUACAUUCUUCCUUGUCUUCCAAAUUGUUGCCCAAGUGACUUAAAACUCAUGGUGUUUUUUUUUUUUCUUUUUCUUUAAUGUGUUGUGUGUGAAAGCAGAGCUUAAAGGUGUGCGCGUGCCCGUGGAGAUAAUGGCUAAGUUAGUACCUGAACAUGCAGAGGAAGCAGGGUCCAUGGCUCGGUUUGUGAUUUUAUCUGCUGUUAACUUGAUUUUCUUUUCUCUUGGGCUUUGAACAUUCUCAUAUUACUAUUAUUACAUUAUGAAUAUUGUAUAUUUCUUUUGUUAUCAUACAAUUAGUACCCAAUUAGCUCCUUUAUACAGUUGGGAUGGUAAAAAGCCUUUAAAAUUUUGAAUCUACCAGGCUCGGUCUAAGAUCUCAGGUAACAGAUUAUCUGCAUCUUGGAAGGGAUCAAACUCUGGUGUAUUGAUAGAUUAGUCACUAGUCAAAUCCAAUCAGGUUUAAACUCAUGAUGCAGUAAUAGUCAAAACUUUAUAAAACCAUACAUACGAGUAUAUAAACCCCUCAACGGGUGAAAAACAACAAAAGAAAAAAAAAAACACACAACCUCUUGGAGAUUUCUACUUUAUAGCAAAAAUACUCAUGUUGGUCGGAAAACUAUGAAACCAGCGAAGAAUCCUACUCAACGAUUCCGGCACCUUCAAUGUCAACUUCACCCAUCCCUGUGUCCUCCUCUUCUUCUUCAUUGCCGCUGAUUUCUUCAUUGUCCAUUCUUAGCUUAGCCAUGUGUUCUGUCAGCAUCGUUCACUCACCUGUCAAAACACAUUAGAUGAAACCAAUAUUUAAGACUCCACAAAUAAAGGAAAGCUAGUUCUUGUAAUAUGCAACUUGGGAUGGUUCAACAACUAAAGAAGAAGAUACUCACAGCCCUAGGUGCCUCCUUAACGACGAGCUUGCCCUUGUGUUGAUCAAUUGUCUCGGUGCAAGCUGCUAUGGCUUCCGUUAGAAUUUCAAUCCCUUGGUCCUGUUUAAUUAUGUUAUUAGUCACUGACAAGAUUAAAUACAAUAUAUAGCUUCAAAAUAAGAGAUUGUCACUUCUUCCGUAACAGCAGGUACAACUUUAGUCACCUACAAAUAGAAAUAUCCCAAGAUCAGAACCAUUACCAACAACUAAAACGAAGCCAGAGAAGAAAGUAAUAUACCUCCUGCCCAUCAGGCCCAACUUCUUUGAUCUCACGUGUGAGUGAACCCAACACAGAAUCGGGAUCUUGAAGGCCUGAAAAAAAAAACAAAACUAAGUAACAAAUAUCUACAUGAAUACAACAAAGGCUCAACUCAAAAGCAUGACCAUGUUUCCGGUACCCAAUGUUCACAUACAACUCCUGCAAUAGCAAAAACUCAAAUCAUUGUACAUAAAUGUAGCUACUUUACGCUAUAUACAUUUAUUUUCAUAAUCAAUAUCACUAAAGAUUCAAUUUUUAUCUACUCAAACUCAAAGUAAGCUACAUUGGUAGUGAGCUUCAGAGAGUAAACACCAAACACGAGCUUAAUCCCAUGAAGCAGAUUUUACUGUUCCAGAAGCAUCUGAUUGAAAUGCCAUGUACCUGAAGAUCAUCACCACAAACAUUCCAAAAGAUACAAAUUAGAAACCGAGACUGAAGCAUGAAGUGCACAGGAUGAAUCAAAUGAUGUAUACAAAAAUGCUCAUGCCAGUUGAGCUACUGUGGGUUUGGGCUUGACUCCGGUUACAGUAAAAGCCCAAUCAUAACGUCUUCAGGCCCAAUAGUUCUGCUACACCGUUUUGACGAUUAUAAACGUCUAACGGAUUCAACGUCUCUGCAAUUCUGUUACAGACGACGAGAACUGAGAAGAGAGAAUCGAAGAGAAAGAGUUUCACCUGGGUGAUUGAUCGGAGACUGAAGUGGAAGAAGCUCCGGUGGUGUAUGGUUCGCGGAGGAUAGCAGAGGAGAAACGUCCUUGAUUCCGCCAUGGAAACUCACGAGCAGCGGAAGACGAAGAAACCGUCUUGAGAAGCAUUUUUGACCGUUGAGAUGCUUUCGCCAGAAAAGUGGACAAGGAUGAUGAAGAAGAAGACCGAUGGAGGGGGUGAUGAUGAUGAGGCUGUGGAUCGUUGACACGUGUAUGGACACGAUUGAUACAUAGGUUAAUGCGCGUGGAGAGCUUGUGGUUAUUUUAUCAUCGAUAUUCCCGUGAACAGAGAUGAAUAUCAUGGCCCUAUUUGUUUUUUUUUUUUUUGUAUUUAAUAUUGAUGCAUAUUUUUUCUUCUUUUAUGUGAAUUAAGUACUUUCACAUGUUUCAUUAACUAAUUGACCUAAUAUGUUUUCCAUAACUAUUUAUAAACAAUAUUAAUCACUUUAACUUUUAAUAUUAGAGCUGAAAUUUGGAAAAUCACUUUGCAUAUAAUAAUAUAGAUAUGAUGGGUAUUUAAAAAUUAAAUAACCAAUGUAUGAUAUAGUAGUAACAUAUAAAUCAAUUUUGAAAGAGGUGGCAUGCAUGUUUUCAUAUAUACACUAGAUUAAAAAUUUAGAGGAAAUUCUAACUUUACCUUGAUAUUACUUUUCAAAUUUACAUUUAAACGAUAAUCAUUUUAAUAAAUACCUUAUGUUUAUUAUGAAAAUAAAACAAAAUUAACUCUCCUGAAUCAUUUAUAAAUGUUUUAAAAUUUUUUUAUAAAAAUUUAUAAACUCAACCACACCCUCUAAAUAAUAAUUUCUAAACAAUACUCACUAAACUUUAAAACCCAAAUAUUAUAAUAUUUUUCGAUAAAUUGUAUUUUUUUAUUAAUUUAUCCAACUUAAGGUAUUUCAAGAAAUUUCUCAAAACUUUAUUCGUCUUACGAUAAAAUAUAAUUGUGUACUUCCAUUGGGAUUUAACUAGUUUCGUGUUGGAUAUUAACCGGUACUUUUAAAUUUAAACCUUCACUAACUAAAAUAUAAAAUAUUUUUAUUAGAAAAAACAUAAAAAAAGUUAUUUUCUCAGUGAGAUUCCAACAUGGUAAAAAUUAAAAAAAAUUAUUAUUUUUUCUUUGAAAUUUAUAUGAAAUAAGUACUAAUUAUAAUAUAAUAUUUGUUAAUUUACGCUACCGAAGAAAAAAAAAGUUAAAAGAUGAACGACAUAUUAAUAUUUGUUAUUUAUAUUUAUAUUUGGUAACAUAAUACAAUUUAUUAUGCCACAAACACUAACAACAAUUAAUAAUAUUAUUAUUUUUCCUGUGAUAAAGACGUGUAUUAUUAUAAAUAUUAUUUGAGUUCCAAUGUAGAUAAAAAAAAUCAAAAUAAACACUCAUUCUUUCUAUGCCUUUGAUAAUGCAUGCAUGCGCACAUCUCAUCUUGCGGACCCACACAACGACCAAUCCCAAGCCUUCCCCUUUCUUUGGUACAUUCAGCUGAACAAAUGGUCAAAUCACAUUUUCCAUUUUUCGGUCUGUAUAUGUGUCGACAAGGAAAUCUGUGUCCUUGAGCUUGAGCAGUCGUCAUUACUCCUGUUAUUAUAAUAGUUAAAACAAAACUUUAGUUUUCGUAUUUAAAUAGAAAUUAAUGUUUUUGGUAAAACAUAUGCUUAGAGAGUUUUUUGCAUAUUUAUAAGGAAAAAAAACUUAAAGUAUGAACAUCUUCUUUCUUAAUCAUUGAUUAUUCUGGAAAAAUUUUCUAAACCCAAAAUUAUAGAAUUCGAUAAAAAAAUUAUAUCAGUACAUAAAAUAAUAUGAUAUCAGAAUAACAUUAAUUUUAAAUAAUUUUUGAAUAUAAUAAUAAAAUUGUAAAUAUAAAUACCAACCGAACAGAAGAACUGUGACCAUAAAGAAACCAAUAAUCGAAGGUUGAAAAGAAUUUUUCAUCUUAGAUAAUGAACUAGAGGUGUUUUAAAAUUACAAAGAAAUAGAAGUAUAUUUAUAAAUGAAUAAAAAAUUGAAACAUAUCUAAUUUAAGCUAUGUACCUUCUAAAAUUCUGUUAUAAAAGAAAUCUAAUUUGACCAAAACUCUUUUUCAAAAAUUUAGAUUUUUUUUAUAGAUAAAAAAGUUGAAUUAGUCAUUUUUAAUAUAUUUAAAAUAUUUCUCGAUAUAUACAUAAAAACAACCAAUCGUCAAAGCUCUGUGAGGCGCAAUAUACAAAGUGUGAAGAUGAUGUGGAAGGCACGGUCAUGGUUCAUCAAAGAAUACAAUAACAGGCUGUUCAACUGGCUGGUUGCGCUCUCUCUAGUAAUGGUAGUGGUCGGACGGUUCAUUAUAAAGUUCAUUUUGUUAAAAAUGGCGGCGCAUGGAUACUCUUUAUAUACUGGAUACAUACACAAGGAUGUUCUGGACAGUAGAAUCUAUUUUCUACAACCUAGUCUGUAACACUCCUGAUCCGGACUAAAUAAAAGUUAAUUAGUUUGCCAUGCACCAAUCAAACAAGAAUAUGCACGACGAACUAAAGAACUCUAACCAGAUCGAAGAUACUACUACCACGUGCCCGAACUUUUGAUCUGAGGUUCCCAGAUCAGAUCCGAAAUCCUAAGAUCAUAUGUCCAAGAACGGGUUUCCUAGCGAUUCCAAGUUAAGGCUUUGCAACCCGAGUUUUAAACCGUUAGUUAGUUCGUCCCGGACUAGGACUAGUAUCAUAUGGAAUCCAAGCAUUUUACAAACCCCUCCCCCCCUUUUUUUAUUCAUAUAUACUUUAAGUUCAACCACAUCGAAAAUUUAUACAUGCUCGGCGGAUGUUCAAAACCAUAUCUUACAUAUUACAAAACGUACAUGUUUGCAAAAGGUAGCAAAUCUACACCAACAGCUUUGUGCUCCUCCGAUCCCAAAUGGAACCUACUACUACGGGUUACCUGCAAAACAAAGAGUCUAAUGAGCAACUAUUUUGCUCAGUGAGUCGGGUUUCUUAACAAUUAUUUAUCCCCCCAUUAUGCAUCAAACAUUAAGCAACAAGGAUCAAUUAUAUUAAGAAAUAUGCAAUGCAAAAAUAAAGCAAUCAUGUAAACAAGCAUCCACUCUUCACGAGUGGUUAGAUCAUUAUCGAUCAUCGAGGACUGCCUCUCGCCAUUGGUUCCUAUCUCGAUACGAAGUCCAUAACACAUCCCUUCUUGCGCCCAUUGACCCUAAACACAAAGUCUAAAAAGCCGAUGACCCGGAUAACACACUUGCCGCAUCGUCAUGCAGCUACACGGUCGAGGGUAGCUAACCCUAUCACACGUGUCUUCGCGUCCUGCCCGGAACUAAUUUUGGUAAGGCCCCGGACAAGGCACGGGCCUCGAGUGGAUACCAAUGACUCUCACAACACUCAACCACAAAAGGUAUCGCCUUUUGUAUCUUCUUCUUCUUCUCCGUAGCUACUAGCUCCUUCAUUGAUGAUAUAUCAUCUAAUGAUUAGUUAUCUCUGUGGUGCCAAGCCAUCAACUUUUUAAUGUCUUAAUGGAUUGUUGUAAUAAAAGCUGCUAACGGAGAUUCUUGUCUGAAUUUUCUGUGAUUGGGUUUUUAUCAAACAGGGAUGCUUAUGGAUUUUCUGUGAGAACAUGUCAAAAUCUACCAGGUUCUUGUAUCUCCACAGUCUUUUUAAUUUUUCUACUCUAGAUACCUUCUUACUUACUUACUUCAUACAUUAGGCUUCUUUCCUUGUCUUAAAUUUUGGUGAUCCCAUAUUAUAAGUUGUGAAAGAUAUCAGAAAACUUAAAUUUAAGGGCUCACACACUAUGUAGUACUAGUUUUUGGUUUUUUCUUCUUUUUUUACCUCGGACAUUUCCAGGUCAUCCUGCCCUAGAUGAUGAUGGCAGCAACGCUCUGAGGAGAUUGCUAACUGCUUAUGCUAGGCAUAAUCCCUCUGUUGGAUACUGUCAGGUAUGUAUAUUCUAAGUUUGGUGACAUGCUUACAAAAUGAUCAUCUACCUGUAAUUUAUUGUCUUGUAUUAAAAAAAAAAAAGAAAACCUGGUUGGUUGCUAAUGCUCUUUGUUAUAUACUAAAAUUUGCAGUUCAACAUCUAGAUUAUCGUGGAG